GUGGGGAAUAUUGGACAAUGGGCGAAAGCCUGAUCCAGCCAUGCCGCGUGUGUGAAGAAGGUCUUCGGAUUGUAAAGCACUUUAAGUUGGGAGGAAGGGCAGUAAGUUAAUACCUUGCUGUUUUGACGUUACCGACAGAAUAAGCACCGGCUAACUUCGUGCCAGCAGCCGCGGUAAUACGAAGGGUGCAAGCGUUAAUCGGAAUUACUGGGCGUAAAGCGCGCGUAGGUGGUUUUGUAAGUUGGAGGUGAAAUCCCCGGGCUCAACCUGGGAACUGCCUCCAAAACUGCAGGACUAGAGUACGGUAGAGGGUAGUGGAAGUUCCUGUGUAGCGGUGAAAUGCGUAGAUAUAGGAAGGAACACCAGUGGCGAAGGCGACUACCUGGACUGAUACUGACACUGAGGUGCGAAAGCGUGGGGAGCAAACAGGAUUAGAUACCCGAGUAGUCC
rnacentral:rRNA from 1 species